AUGCCAGACUUCCCUGGGACACCGGACGUCGAGGUCCUUGAUGGCCCUGACAAGCCUGCUGCGAAGCCGUUCGACAAGCCAUUUGACCCCGUCCAUGAUAGGAAGAGGAAGAGAGGAGGCCUGAUGGAGGAGGAGAUCAAUGUCUUUUGCAGCAUAACUGAGGCAGUGAAGGAGGUGGCAACAUCUAUUAGGGAGUGCAAGCCCCUCGACGUCCACACUGACCUGUAUGGCGCUGUCAUGACCCAGGGUGGAUUCAGCGACGAGGCUCUCAUGGCAGCUCUCAGCCACCUGCUUGACAACAAGGCCCAGGGUGUUGGGUUCGUUACCAUGGCCGACGCUCACAGGGGCAAGUGGUAUGCCGUGUUCAUUGGUGAGGUUCCAAGGGUUUAUAGUUCAUGGGAAGAAGCCAAUUCACAAGUGGCAUCGUAUAGCAACAGCAACUAUAGAGGGUUCAAGACUAGGCAGGCAGCAGAACAAGCUUACUCCGCCUGA
rnacentral:rRNA from 1 species